UACGUAGGGGGCAAGCGUUGUCCGGAUUUAUUGGGCGUAAAGAGCUCGUAGGUGGUUCGGUAAGUCGGAUGUGAAAUCUCCAGGCUCAACCUGGAGGGGUCAUUCGAUACUGCCGUGACUAGAGUGCGGUAGGGGAGACUGGAAUUCCUGGUGUAGCGGUGAAAUGCGCAGAUAUUAGGAAGAACACCAGUGGCGAAGGCGGCUCACUGGCCCGGUACUGACGCUCAUGUGCGAAAGCGUGGGGAGCGAACAGG
rnacentral:rRNA from 1 species